CCAACUCUCUACUAGUCAGUGAACAGAGAACGGAGAGCACUAUCGCUUGAGGUAGCGGAGAGCAUCAAGUGGAUAAACUCUGUCUAAUUUUCAGCUAAUUCCCCUUCAGUGCUGGUCGGACACGGACCAUACACCAUCCCCGAGUUGAUUUUUUUUGUCUGUGGGUGACCCGAACUGUUGGACGAAUUGAAAAAUAUUAUAAUUUGGUGUCAUAUCUAAGCAGAAACGAAAGUAUUGAGAGUGGUAUCCGAGGCUAGCCAGUUGGCUAACUGGGAAGGUUGCCUAGCUAACUACUGCUGAGAAAAUAAGAAGCGGAGGGAGACCCCAACGGCAAAAAGGGCCAUCGACGUGAGCUGUAUCCUGAAGAGGAGCUCUCCGUUUUUCUGGACACAUCAGGCGGAGCCGGAGUCCAUUUUGCUGUGUUCUACUCUGAUAAUUUCGGAGGCUUAGAGCCUCUGCUCUUUCCCUGCACAGUGAGUCCUCAAUAACUCCUCGGAGCUCAGGCCCUCCACAGACUAACAGAAUGGAAGAAGAGAGAGAAGCAGGAGGGAGAGAGAAGGCCCUUAAGGACUCCAAGAGAUAUAUAAAACAAUGCAGUACUCCUCUCUAAUGAAAGCCAGGAAGUGGGACAACCAAAGUUUUUUUUCUUCUUCUGAAUAACAUCAUUUUUCACACUGAUUGUGGUGGUAAUGGAGAAUGUUAAGAGAUGAGUAAUGGAACACAUUCAUGUUCAUUAAUCCAAAUUGUUUAUGUGGACUGGCUGGAUGUUUCUUUGAGGGCCUCUGAAACUCUAAGCCUACGGGCCUGGUUAUUAAAUUGUCCACUCAUUUAA